UACACGCUCCUUAGAUCCACCUCUAGAGGGUGCUGUGCUCUUGAGCAGGAGCCCCCUCACAGCUUUCUGGCUGUUCCGUUGGAGGUACUUGAGUCAUUGGCGUGUGAGAGCAGUCUACCUGCUUGCCGGCUUUAACGCAGCACUAGCAACCCAGUCCUCUACAGACUGGGAUCACCUAGUGUUGCUAGCCAGGUGGACGGACAGU